CGUGGAUAACCUGCCCUUGGGUCCGGCAUAACCCCGGGAAACUGGGGAUAAUUCCGGAUAACGCACAUAUGCUGGAAUGCUUUUUGCGUAAAAUGGAUUCGUCUGCCCAAGGAUGGGUCUGCGGCCUAUCAGGUAGUAGUGGGUGUAAUGUACCUACUAGCCUACGACGGGUACGGGUUGUGAGAGCAAGAGCCCGGAGAUGGAUUCUGAGACAUGAAUCCAGGCCCUACGGGGCGCAGCAGGCGCGAAAACUUUACAAUGCGGGAAACCGUGAUAAGGGGACACCGAGUGCCAGCAUCCUAUGCUGGCUGUCCGGGUGUGUAAAAUACACCUGUUAGCAAGGGCCGGGCAAGACCGGUGCCAGCCGCCGCGGUAACACCGGCGGCCCGAGUGGUGAUCGUGAUUAUUGGGUCUAAAGGGUCCGUAGCCGGUUUGGUCAGUCCUCCGGGAAAUCUGACAGCUCAACUGUUAGGCUAUCGGAGGAUACUGCCAGACUUGGAACCGGGAGAGGUAAGAGGUACUACAGGGGUAGGAGUGGAAUCUUGUAAUCCCUGUGGGACCACCUGUGGCGAAGGCGUCUUACCAGAACGGGUUCGACGGUGAGGGACGAAAGCUGGGGGCACGAACCGGAUUAGAUACCCGGGUAGUCCCAGCCGUAACCGAUGCUCGCUAGGUGUCAGGCAUGGCGCGACCGUGUCUGGUGCCGCAGGGAAGCCGUGAAGCGAGCCACCUGGGAAGUACGGCCGCAAGGCUGAAACUUAA
rnacentral:rRNA from 1 species